rnacentral:tRNA from 1 species
GUCUAGCUAGUUCUGUCAGUAGAGCAUGUGACUCUUGAUCUCAGGAUCGUGAGUUCAAUCCCCAUGUUGGCCA